AAGUCAAUCAUGAAUAUAUUGGUGAAUCAAGCAAGAACAUGAACUCUGAAGAUGGGGAUUACUUGCUUAAUGAACCAAUUGUAAAUGGGACUGAUGACCUUCAAUUUAGUGAUGAAGCUUUCCUUGAAGCUAAUGACCUUUCAAAUCCUGUUGAGGUUGACAGGUCUGGUUUCGACAUGCUUGAGGAAUACCUUACAAAACCAAUUGAUCUAGCUGUUCAACAGAAGUUUGAUGCUGCUGAUCAAGUCAAUCAUGAAUAUAUUGGUGAAUCAAGCAAGAACAUGAACUCUGAAGAUGGGGAUUACUUGCUUAAUGAACCAAUUGUAAAUGGGACUGAUGACCUUCAAUUUAGUGAUGAAGCUUUCCUUGAAGCUAAUGACCUUUCAAAUCCUGUUGAGGUUGACAGGUCUGGUUUCGACAUGCUUGAGGAAUACCUUACUUACUUUGAUGCAAACGAUGACUUCCAGAAUAUGAGUUUUGAUCCUUCAGUUUUCUUUGGAAAUGAUGAUCAAAUUUCUGAUCAAGCACUGCC
rnacentral:lncRNA from 1 species